CAGUGGUAUAAUAGUACACACCUUUUUGCAUUUUCACAACCACAGCCCUCACACACUAACUUUCCCUAGGAUGCCCCCAACACAACAAUCCUCCCACCACAACCCAACCCAGUUCACUUUUUCAGUGUCACAAACAUUUUUUCAAUUUUCAAUAUCUAAAUUUCUCAAAGCCACCCAACGUGUCCCUUAUCUUUCGGCAUUAAUCUUAAAAAACUGCUUCCACUGUUCCUAGUUCCUUCCCACAAUAAUAAUAAUACUUACUGUGCAUUGUUUAACAAGUAGCACUGAAGUUGCAGCUAGCUAGGUAGGACCAACCAACCAAACCCAAAGGGAUAUAUACUAACGUACGCCACAGGGACCGUUAGCUGUGCGGCGCCAAUAUUCGUUGGUGCUCUCUCUCUCUUUCUCUCUUUUCCUCUGUCUUUCUUUCUUUCUUUCUUUCCUUUGAUAUUUUUUUAACUCUUCUUAACUUGUUAUAACCCAACAACACAAACCCAACCUUUUUUGAACUCACAGCACACCCACUGAUCCUACUCUUUGUCUCUCUCAAAAAUGGAUAAUGGGUGUUUCUCUUCCCCUCGACGUGAUUUCCCUGCUGGUCUGCGAGUUCUCGUUGUGGAUGAUGAUCCUACGUGGCUCAAGAUCCUUGAGAAGAUGCUCAAGAAGUGCAAUUAUGAAGUGACUACAUGUUGUUUAGCAAGGCAUGCUCUAAACUUGCUUCGUGAAAGGAAGGAUGGAUAUGAUAUAGUGAUUAGCGAUGUAAACAUGCCUGACAUGGAUGGUUUUAAACUUCUUGAGCAUGUUGGGCUUGAGAUGGAUCUUCCUGUGAUUAUGAUGUCUGUGGAUGGGGAAACAAGCAGGGUCAUGAAAGGUGUUCAACAUGGAGCAUGUGAUUAUCUCCUUAAGCCUAUAAGGAUGAAAGAACUGCGAAAUAUAUGGCAGCAUGUCUUUAGAAAAAGGAUACACGAGGCAAAAGAGUUUGAAAGCUUUGAGAGUUUUGAGAGCAUUCACUUGAUGAGAAAUGGAUCAGAGCUAUCAGAUGAGGGGAACUUGUUUGCUGUAGAAGAUGUGACCUCAACAAAGAAAAGAAAAGAUGCAGAUAACAAACACGAUGACAAAGAAUGUAUGGAUCCAUCAUCUGCCAAGAAAGCUAGAGUAGUCUGGUCUGUAGAUCUUCAUCAGAAGUUUGUUAAAGCUGUGAAUCAGAUUGGAUUUGAUAAAGUUGGGCCCAAGAAAAUAUUGGAUCUGAUGAAUGUUCCAUGGCUGACUAGAGAGAAUGUUGCCAGCCACUUGCAGAAAUACCGGCUUUAUUUGAUUAGGAUUCAGAAAGAAAACGAUCGGAGAUCUUCCUCGAGUGGUAUGAAGCAUUCAGAUUUUCCUUCAAAAGAUCUGGGAAGUUUUGGAUUUCAAAACCCAGUAAACAAGCAACAAAAUGAUGUUUCAACUGACAGCUACAAUUAUUCGGAUGGAUCAUUACAUCUUCCUACCGUGGAAAAUAAAAAUUAUGAAGGCGAUAAGGGAAGUGUUUCACAGUUCACCAUAGCAAAAAAAGGAAGGCCCUUGACUGGUAACGUCACCGACUCAAAUAUGAGAGAGAGUUCAAGGGUUGGCCUCAAUCAACCUUUUGCCCAGUCAGAAGGAAACCAUGCAGUGUUUGAUUGCUCCUUGCCAACACAGUACUCAUGGACUGAAGUUCCAAACAUGCAACUCAAAGAAGAACACAAGUCACUUGUUCAUUUAGAAGAUAGCUUCAAUCAGAUGCCAUUACACGGUAAGCAGCAUCACAUCCAAGUUGAUCAAUCACAGUCAGUUGCUUCAAUUAGUUCAGCUCCCUCUAUAACGGAGGAAGAGGUUCCUGCUUGUAUAGAAGCAAAACCUUUGUUUUCAGAUUUCAAGAAUGAUCGAUCCAGUUCUGUGAAUUCAAUAGGGAAUGCAGUUGACACCUUUCCAAUUCAACCAGGAAGUCUUGCUAUGAAUGCUCAAUCUUUAGAACCCAUUUCAACUACAAAUUCAGGAUUGAAAGCACAUGGAUAUAAUAACCUCAGUUGCAUUUCUGAUGUGGAAAUUUACCAAAGAAACCUUCUUUUGGGAGGUGAGGCAGCUUCUGCACCUUUGGAUGAGGAUUUGCAUUUCCAGUGGCUGCAGGGUGAAUGUUAUAACAUGAACUUCGGUCUGCAGAAUAUAGGAAUGUCAGAAUAUUAUGAUCCAGGGCUUAUUGCAGAAGCUCCAAGUCACUUAUAUGAUUCAGCCGAUUACUCGGUUAUAGAUCAAGGUCUAUUCAUAGCAUGAGCUGCUUUGCCUUUCCUGCAUCUUCAACAAAAAUCAAAAUUCAAUCAUGAAAGGACAAUCUAAUGUUUCUUGUAGCUAACUACAUCUUUGUUGAAGAAUUUCAACCUCAACGGUUGGGGUAUUCUUUUUCCGAUCAUAGAGGAUUUGGAUAUAUUGCAGUAUGUAUAAAAACGAGUGCUGACAAGUAUCGAGGGCUGGCUGAAAAUUCGGAGCCGCGCGCAUCGAUCACGGGAACAACUUUAAAGCGAUUGGUUUAUAAGAAUGGUUUUAGAACCAAGCAAUGUUGGACAAAGAAGCUUAAAGUGAAUUUUGAACAGUACAAGGGUACUAUAUGUUCUAAGCCAUUGUUUUGGAAAAAUUGAACAAAUAUUUCUUAUUAGGUGGAAGUACUACCUUUUGUGUACAGGAUUCAAAUUCCUCAAACGCAAGUUUACGGAAAAAACAUGUCCAUGUCCUCAAUCACAGUUAUAUGAAACUAAAGGUAAUACAUGUGCUAUUAUUUACCUUGAUGUGUAUAUCGCCUAAACCUAAUUUCACAAACUUGGUUAUCUCCAGUGUCAAAAUUUAAUGUGGACUACAAAAAAAAAAAACUACAAAA